UGUUGUUGGACUACAACUCCCAUCAUCCCUGAGCUCUGGCCUUGCUAGCUGGGGUGAUGGGAGUUGUAGUUCAACAACA
rnacentral:miRNA from 1 species